ACAAAACUAUCGCCUUGAGGCAGGCAAAUUCAGCAGGAUCAACCAGCACCGCCUUGUACUUGCAGAAGAUCUCGUGGAGGGUUCGCACAUCCGCCGCAAGCUAAAGGAAAUUGAAGAUUGUUACAGUGCUCCGCCACCGAGAAGAGGGCGCAGCCGGUGGGAUCCAGGGGAAUACACCAUUGGAUGGCAUUUAGCAGGAAAAGCUCGGACCAGGACUCCUCCAGCAGAAUCACCUAAGUAAGCAACAUAAGUUUUACGUUAUUUUAUCACCACAAAACGUUAAAAAGCAAACCGAAUCCUGAUGACCAAGGACGUUCAGCCCACCUGAUCCCGAAAGGAGAGUCGUGCAAAGCUGGGCAGGUUCUUGGCCCACUUGACGGCCAUGAAGAGUAGUCGAGCACUCGUCUCAUAAACGGUUUCGUGCUGAUGGGC